CUACCUAAUCAAUUUAGAAGGUUGAGUCCUGAAUAAGAUUGCUUGACAGUUUGGUUAAGCCCAUACCAAUUAGAUUGAUCAUAUGAUGACUGAUUAGAUAAGACCUAAACCUAAAUCUCCCCAUAAAUAUUAAGUCCAUAGGUCUUUUAUCGUUAUAGAUGUGUGGACGUGUUGCUGGUGUUGAUUGUUCUCGACUGGUCACAAUGGUUCAGUUGUAUCGAAAACACACAACUACUCUAUUAGGAAAGAGUUACUCUAGGGUAAAGAUG
rnacentral:lncRNA from 1 species